CCUCCCCACAGCCCGCCUUCCUUACUAAAGCCUGUCUAGCUCCUGCAGGGCAUUCUCCUCCACUGUGGGGUGACAGGCAAGGGGGUGCUCAGGCUGUGAUACACCGAACAAGAAGGCUGCCCAGUCUCUGCCUGUCACUGGCUGAUUGGUUGCUCUCCUCUUCAAAUUUAUAUGUUGAUGUCCUAAGCCCCUCAUUACACAAAACGUGGCCCUAUUUGAAGGCGGGGCCAUUAGAGAGGUAAUUAAGGCACAGUGAAGUCAUACAGGUGGGUCUAAAUCCAGCAGGACCGGUGUCUUUAUAAGGAAAGGAGCUAAGGACACAGAAAGCACAGAGCGACAGGAUCUGCCAGUCAAGAGAGCGGCCUCAGAGGAAAGCAGGCCUGCAGACACCUUGAUCUCAGACUUCCAGCCUCCAGAACUGGAAGGAAUUCUGCCCCCAGAAGAGCCAGGACCCACGUGAUCAGUAACUAGUACUGGGAAGAGAACCAAAGAGGGAAAACAGAAGAAAAAGUCACCCUGCCCCGCUAGAUGGUUUAGAUUCUAAAGGAAUUUGGAAAGGAAGCUGGCAGAUAAGAUUUGGAUCCACGUAAACCUAAAUGAAAGUCGUGGGAUUGAAAUCUGACUUGGAAGAUCAGAACUCAAAUUGCAGAAAACCCAAAUGAUACAGAAUCAAGCUUGAGAAGGUGUCUAUCAAUGUAGAGAAAAGAAACAGAAAAAACAAAAUGAGAGAAAAGAUGGGUAAUUCAGUUGAUCAAAAGUAAAUAAAGACUUAAUAUAUGGAUAAGAAGGACCCCCUUGAGGAAGAUAUAACUAAAAUGAUGUUGCGGCAACACUGAAGAAAAAUAAUGAUGGAAGAAAACUUUUCAAGCUGAGAAAAGAAGUUGAAUGUACAAUUUAAAAUAGCACACAACUUCCAGGCAAAAUUAAUGAAGGAAGGUACACAAUUUGAUAUGAUCUAGCAAAUUUCUUUCAGAGAAGGCAAUGGCACCCCACUCCAGUACUCUUGCCUGAAAAAUCCCAUGGACAGAGGAGCCUGGUAGGCUGCAGUCCAUGGGGUCGCUAGGAGUCGGACACGACUGAGCGACUUCACUUUCACUUUUCACUUUCAUGCAUUGGAGAAGGAAAUGGCAACCCACUCAAGUGUUCUUGCCUGGAGAAUCCCAGGGAUGGGGGAGCCUGGUGGGCUGCCGUCUAUGGAGUCGCACAGAGUCGGACACAACUGAAGUAACUUAGCAGCAGCAGCAAAUUUCUUUGAAUAUGAAGCAUUUUUAAAAAAAUCUUCAACUAUCUAGACAAAACAUUAAACUCACUUAUCAUCAAAUGAAAACAGGCUGAUUUGAGAAUGCAUCACACAACUGAUGCCAGACGAUAAUAGAGCGAAGUCUAAAUGAUACUAAGAGAAAACGCUUAUGACUCAAGAUGAGAUGUUAAUCUUCAAAGAAAACAAAAAAGACAUUCUCAGUUAUUCUAAUCAGGGGUUCAAAAAAGAUACCCCAGGCCCCUUUUUUGAAAAAUUUACCGAAAGAUAGGUUCAAAUGGAACAAAUAUUACUUAAGGACAAAAAAAAAAAAAAUCAAGAAUAUCAAAAGUGGGUUCAAAAACAUUGUAAUAGUCCAAGCCAAAUCUGUAGAAUUAAGUUUUUAAAAAAUGCUGUAUAUAGAAUAUCGGUACAGAUGGAAAGUUUUUGUUGUAGUUACUUCUUAAAAUAACUAAAAAUAAAACUAGUAAUAAAU
ensembl:lncRNA